rnacentral:rRNA from 1 species
CAAUAAGCGGAGGAAAAGAAACCAACAGGGAUUGCCUCAGUAACGGCGAGUGAAGCGGCAACAGCUCAAAUUUGAAAUCUGGUCCUUUCAGGGCCCGAGUUGUAAUUUGUAGAGGAUGUUUCGGGUGCGGCGCGGGUCUAAGUCCUUUGGAACAGGGCGUCAUAGAGGGUGAGAAUCCCGUAUGUGACCCGUGAUCAAGCCCAUGUGAAACCCCUUCGACGAGUCGAGUUGUUUGGGAAUGCAGCUCAAAAUGGGUGGUAAAUUUCAUCUAAAGCUAAAUACCGGCCAGAGACCGAUAGCGCACAAGUAGAGUGAUCGAAAGAUGAAAAGCACUUUGGAAAGAGAGUCAAAAAGUACGUGAAAUUGUUGAAAGGGAAGCGCUUGCAACCAGACCUGUCCGCAGGCGAUCAACUCCCGUUCUCGGGGUGCACUCGUCUGUGAUCAGGCCAGCAUCGGUUCGGGCGGUCGGAUAAAGGCCUUGGGAAUGUAGCUCCUUCCGGGGAGUGUUAUAGCCCUCGGUGCAAUGCGGCCAGCCCGGACCGAGGACCGCGCCUUCGGGCUAGGAUGCUGGCGUAAUGGUUGUAAGCGACCC